rnacentral:rRNA from 2 species
CGUGUAGGCGGCCGGCUAAGUCUGAUGUGAAAGCCCGGGGCUCACCCCCGGAAGGGCAUUGGAUACUGGCAGGCUCGAGUCCCGGAGAGGAGGGUGGAAUUCCUGGUGUAGCGGUGAAAUGCGUAGAUAUCAGGAGGAACACCGGUGGCGAAGGCGUCCCUCUGGACGGUGACUGACGCUGAGACGCGAAAGCGUGGGGAGCAAACAGGAUUAGAUACCCUGGUAGUCCACGCUGUAAACGAUGAGCACUAGGUGUCGUGGGUAUUGACCCCCGCGGUGCCGUAGCUAACGCAUUAAGUGCUCCGCCUGGGGACUACGGCCGCAAGGUUAAA